UCCCCUGCGCACCACUUCGGAGAAAGAUCCUUUCAUUUGAAAUUCGUAUUGUGUCUUUGCAGCUCUGUAAGGAAUGUUUUGUACGGUUUUGAUCUUUAUGAUUUCUUUUUCUUCUUUCCAACGUGGACACGAUCGAGAGUACACCGGGUGGUUGCCCUGGCAGUUGGCACAACGGUACUCAUUGCUGCAAGUCUCUGGCGAAUGGUCUUUGCCAGAGCACUUUGGGCAGGUGGAGUGUCCGCGGCAGACAAGCGAACUGUGCCCAAAAUGCUGGCACUUGAAACAACGUCUUGGGUUUGGAAUGUAUGGUCUGACAUUGCAACUGAGAGACCACGCCCUGCUCACUCAGUCCAUCUUCAAUCUCAGAUUCUGUGCAUUCGAUGAGUUCAUCUUCUGAUAUUACACCUUUGGUUAUGUUCAGUGUGCGGUGUACGUUAACAUUUACAGUGCAGCAGGCGUGUCGCCCACCAUGGAGCCCAACUUGGGGAACGUGCCCCGCACGCUAACACCUACCUCUGCACUAUACCCUAGUGCAGCUUCUGGAGAGUGAAAAGACUGCCCAAGGUUGACCCUUGCCGCCAAAGAAGGUGAAGGGAGGAAAAGGAAGACAGUGAAGGAGUGGAGAAAG